GAUGAACGCUAGCGGAAGGCCUAACACAUGCAAGCCGAGCGGUAUUGUUUCUUCGGAAAUGAGAGAGCGGCGUACGGGUGCGUAACACGUGUGCAACCUGCCUUUAUCUGGGGGAUAGCCUUUCGAAAGGAAGAUUAAUACUCCAUAAUAUAUUGAACGGCAUCGUUUAAUAUUGAAAGCUCCGGCGGAUAGAGAUGGGCACGCGCAAGAUUAGCUAGUUGGUGAGGUAACGGCUCACCAAGGCGAUGAUCUUUAGGGGGCCUGAGAGGGUGAUCCCCCACACUGGUACUGAGACACGGACCAGACUCCUACGGGAGGCAGCAGUGAGGAAUAUUGGUCAAUGGGUGCAAGCCUGAACCAGCCAUCCCGCGUGAAGGACGACUGCCCUAUGGGUUGUAAACUUCUUUUGUAUAGGGAUAAACCUACCCUCGAGAGGGUAGCUGAAGGUACUAUACGAAUAAGCACCGGCUAACUCCGUG
rnacentral:rRNA from 1 species